AUCCUGGCCCUCGGAGGAACUUCCACGUCAAGUGUUAUCGCUGUGAGGACUGCUCCAAGCAGCUGUCUUCGGAGGCCACGGAAGAUGGGUGCUACCCCUUGGACGAUCACGUCCUGUGCUUGCAGUGUCACCAGUCUCGCCUCAACAAGGCCUCGCGGAAGUGACGGGCCCUGGCACGCUACCGCCUCCCAUGCCGGAGCCGAGCAGCUUCCGAACGGGACCGGCCCAGCCCGGAGCACUGCUUCUCACCUUCCUCUCUCUCGCUCCCUCCCUCUCUGUACCGCUUCACGUUUUAAUCCGAGAAAGAAUCAGCAGGAAAAAUAAAUAAGAGCAUUUACUUAA